GAAUGGGAUUCGUCCUCGGCCAACACUGGUGAUAUCGAGUGAUGUCGUGCCCGGGCUUAGCAUGACACCCAUCUUGUCGACGUGCUAUAGAUCAUCGCGUAUGUUUUCCGCUGCUAAAAAUCUUAGCUUAAACAGUUUGUAUUGUUUUCUCUUAGUUUGAAACUUUGUACUACUUUUAUAAACUCUUGUAAUGUAAUUCCCUGUUAUGUAAAUUAUGAUGGUGAUUGUAUCUCUGGACUCACCUUCGUGUGAGGUAACCUUAUUGAUCCUGUGUAUCGGUGGUUUAUCGGGACGUUACCCGACAGGCCAAGGGAUUAUACCGCUUGAAGCACGUUGGAGCCCUCGGUAGUGGACUCGCGUACUUGAGCCGGUAUAAUUCAGGUUGGUUCUGCCACACCUGCUGUACUUGUAGUACCUAAAGGUGGAGAAGAAGACCCAGAACCCGACCCUCAGUCAGAUUACUCCUCUUCCGGCAGCCAGUCCUCUGUAGGCAACCUCGACGAUUUCUAGUUUGUCCAAAUCAUCGAUUCUCUAGAUGUAACUAGAGUAAAGUGUAGUGACAUAGGUAGUAAGUAGUCUACCUAGACCCUGUGCCAUUUGUUGUAAUAUAGAUGGCCUGUGUACGGACCCCCUUGAUGUACGAUGUUAAGAACGACCAGUAUCUGUGUUGUAAUCCAAGUCUUGUGUUCUGCCAUCUUGUUCAAUAUCUUUGCAUCUGAAAAGAGUUGGUUGAAUGGAACAUGUGAAUUAUAUAUC
rnacentral:lncRNA from 1 species